GAACACGGGCGGUUGAAGUUAAAUUUGGGAGGUUAACCAUAAAGAGUGACUGACGUGUUAGAGGAGGAGUGAGUCCCCCUCCAAAUUCUCCUGGGGUUACGUAACCGGUAAAUCAUCUGGACCGACGGUUGAGUGAAUGGGAAUUUGGACAAGAGUGAUCGAAAGCAUCUGCACUUGUGGAGGAAAAGGGGAGGAAAUGUCAUCUACUGGCGUAAGAUUGCGGAUCAACGAUCACCAUGUGGUGAUUGAUAAUGGCAUAGUGCAAGUCACAUUAUCCAAUCCAGAGGGGCUUCUCACUGGGCUCCAAUACAAUGGCCUUGACAAUCUUCUCGAGGUUCUUAAUCAACCAGGUAAUAGAGGCUACUGGGAUGUUGUCUGGAGUGCUCUAGAUGACUCAGGGAGAAAAGGAGUAUUUGAAGUGAUCAAUGCAACAAGCUUUAAGGUUAUAGUGGAAACAGAGGAACAAGUUGAAGUUUCCUUUUCAAGACCAUGGGAUCCUUCCCUUAAGGGGAAACUUGCUCCUAUUAACAUAGACAAAAGGUUUGUUUUGCUUCGUGGUUCUUCUGGUUUCUACACAUAUGCCAUAUAUGAACACUUGGGUUCUGAAGAAUGGCAGGCUUUCAGCCUUGGGGAAACGCGAAUUGCAUUCAAACUCAGAAAAGACAAGUUUCACUACAUGGCAGUGGCAGAUGAUAGAAGAAGAUACAUGCCCCUGCCAGAUGACCGAUUACCAGGAAGAGCCCAACCCCUUGCAUUUCAGGAAGCCGUUUCCCUAAUUAACCCAGUUGUGCCUGAAUUCAAAGGAGAGGUGGAUGAUAAGUAUCAGUAUACUUGUGAGAACAGAGAUCUGAUGGUACACGGGUGGAUAUCACAUGACCCUCCGGUUGGAUUUUGGCAAAUUACGCCCAGCAAUGAGUUCAGGAGCGGUGGGCCACUCAAGCAGAACCUCUGUUCUCAUGUGGGACCCACUUGCUUAGCUGUUUUCGUUGGUGCUCAUUAUGCCGGGGAUGAUCAAGUUCCAAAGUUUGGGCAGGGGGAGCCAUGGAAAAAAGUGUUCGGGCCGGUUUUCAUCUAUCUUAAUUCAACUACGUGUGGUCAAGAUCCUCUUACGCUUUGGGAUGAUGCCAAAAGACAGACGAUGGUUGAGGUAAAUAGCUGGCCUUAUAGCUUUCCAGCAUCCGAGGAUUUUCCAAAAUCACAUGAACGAGGAAAUGUCAGAGGUAGAUUACUCGUCCGGGACAGAUACAUUCAGGAUGAUGAGAUACCAGGGAAUGGUGCAUAUGUAGGGUUAGCUCCACCAGGAGAUGUUGGAUCAUGGCAAAGAGAAUGCAAGGACUAUCAAUUUUGGAGUGAAGCUGAUAGCAGUGGAGAUUUCUCCAUUAAGAGUGUAAGAUGUGGAGAAUAUAAUUUGUAUGCGUGGGUCCCUGGAUUUCUUGGAGACUACAGAUAUCAUCUUCCCAUUACCAUAACCCCAGGGUGUGAUAUUAAUGUGGGGAACCUUGUCUACGAGCCUCCAAGAGAGGGUCCUACUUUGUGGGAAAUAGGGAUCCCAGACCGAUCUGCUGCAGAGUUCCAUGUUCCAGACCCUGACCCCAAAUAUGUCAACCCCCUUUUUCUCAAUAAUCCCAAGAGCAACUUUAGGCAGUAUGGCUUAUGGGAAAGAUAUGGCGAGUUGUACCCUUAUACUGAUUUGGUGUUCACCGUUGGAGAGAGUGAUUAUCGCAAAGAUUGGUUCUAUGCUCAAGUUCCAAGGUACAACAAGUACACAUGCAACGCUUUAGCUUUCAGUAUGGCUCAAAACUGUCCAUGUCAGAUUGGGUUGACCCUCUACACUCUUUUCUUUGUUUAGUUUAUGACUAAAUACUAGUGUUUACAUAAAAAAUAUUGUUACAGUAAUAAUAUAAUCUAAAUCUCUUACACAAAUGAUUUAGGAGUUUCACCCCCUUACUUGUAGCUUAGCUAUUUUCAUGAGUAAAUUACAAAAAUUUUCCUUUAUGCUUAUACCAAAUUUCAAAGACAUCCCUUUGCCUUUAAAAUUGACGGCUUUUGUACUUAAUGUUUCAAAAUCUUACACGUUACGCCCUUUGGCCCUAACCCAGUUAAUUUUUAUCAUUAAGCCAGCCAGCCAGGUCACAAAAGGGUUAAAUUGUCUUUUUACCCUAUUUACAUAAAAAUAUAUUUUAUUAGACUAGACUAUAAACAAACAAUAUUAAAAAAAAAAUUCAUAGAACUUUACGUACCGGCAGAUUGAAUCUAUCACACAUUUAAAGGAAUGGCAAACUAACUGGCAAAUUGAUUUUGAACAACAAAUUGAAUUUGAAUGGCUGAUUGAAUCAAUCACAAAUUGCAAAUGAAACAGCAGAAUGAAUCCAUUGCAAAUGGAAUGGCAAAUUGAGUCCAUCACGAUCUCUUGAUAUAUGUAAGCCAUGUGCCAUAAUCUUGUAUCCGGCACAAGAGAUUACAAAAAUCGAGGGAUAUGUAGUAAUGCUUCAACAAGAAUCCUCUUUCUCAUCCUCCCAGCAACGAAACUCCCACAUGCUGGUAUAACAACCACCGGACUCGAAGCAUCGGAGAAAAGAAGACAAUUCGUAUGAAGGAACCACAUGGCAAAUAAAGUUUAGACUUGAGAAUGUACAACGUGCUGCUAGUUAUAAGCUAAGAAUGGCACUGGCUGGUGCAACUCUUGCAGAAGUACAGGUUCGAGUAAAUGAUCCAAACAAAGCCCGCCCACUAUUUACAACAGGUUUGAUAGGCCGGGACAAUGCGAUUGCAAGACACGGGAUUCAUGGGCUUUACUGGCUGUACAACAUAGACGUUUCUGGUUCAUUACUUGUUGAAGGAGAAAACAUUGUUUAUCUAAAACAACCACGGAACCAAAGUCCAUUUCAAGGUAUUAUGUAUGAUUACUUACGCUUAGAAGGUCCCGCAUAGCAUGAUGGGCGGGUUUUUAAUAAAGUGUGUUUUUGUUUCCACAUAUUAUGUUGCUGCUAAAUGACGAGUGGAGUGGUUUUUAGAACAUUACGGAUGCAGGCCUUGAGCUUGGUGUCCUAAUUAUAUAUUUGAAAGUUAUGUAUACAUAGUAUAAAGUUUUAUAUAGGUUACAUCUGAAGA